UCAGAGUAAAUUUGGCUGAUACUGAUUGGGAAAGAUUAGAAGAUGUGUCUGACCCACUGGAAACCACACAAGAUAGUGAGCAGAGUGCUAAACGCAAGGCUUCCUUUCCAGUCGAAGAUUCUCCACCCCCGAAGAAGCACCGUCCUGAGGAGGAUGAGUGCUAAGAGGUUGCGUCCACAUCCUAAUGGUAUUGAACCAGUUUGCCUCAGUGCUAUGAAAUGUUGCCGCAGACAUUCGUGAAGAAUCUACUGAAUAUUGUUGCGAUCAUCUCUUACAUGCUACAACAGUUUACGAGUUGUGUGAAACCUACGGGUUACUUACACUUUUGUCGAUGAAGUGAUACUAAUUGCUAUCUUGGUCGUUUGUAAAAGCUCCAGCAGAAAUGUUACCAAAUGUAACUACAGUAACCUCUUAUAAAGCUCCUCGAUACUUUAAGUCCUAAACUUACGAACACAUUGAGAAUCUUCUGUAUUGUGUAUAUCGUUAUGUAUAUCUAUAUUGUGUACGUUGUAAUUACAUGUAUAUCAUUAUACACAAUUCAGGAGGUCCCCCAAUGUGUUCGUAAGUCAAGGACUUACUGUAUAGAGCAUUUUUUGCGUAAAUGAAAUUGGCUGAACUUCCAGUUGUAUUUACAAAAAAAAUUGCACUAUGGAAUUCUCUUUAUGAAUCUUUACAAGUUGUAUAUACUGGCUAUGCAGUGGUAUAUGGUACCCCUGUGUAAGCCAGUGGUAUGUGGUACCCUGUGUAAACCAGUGGUAUGUGGUACCCCUGUGUGAGCCAGAGGUUAGUGGUACCCUGUGUAAACCAGUGGUAUGUGGUACCGUGUGUUAGCCAGUGGUACAUUAUGUGCAAAGUCUAUGUAUAUUUGAAGCUCUGCCGAAGUGGUAAUGUACUGAAUACGCAAACUCAAUACUUGAUAUGUGAUGUUUCUUCGUGAAUCACUUAAUAGAAGUCGCGUUUGUAAUGCCGCCCCAGUAAGUGCUCUUACUGACCAGAUUCAAUUCGAGAUUGAUUUACAAUAAUUAUUAUUAUAGUCAAAAAGAAGUGCUAAUGAUUUACAGUGAUUAUAUACGUUGGUUGGAACACUUACGACAAUGAGUCAUACCACAAAAUUAUCAUUGCAGCUAAUUGUGUGCUGGAUAUUCGUUGUUUUUCUUAUGCCAAAUCAUACCAUGAAAUUAUUACUAUUAAAGUGAAUCAUACUGGGAAAUCAUACAUCCUUACACAUGAAUCAUACUUGGAAAGAAUUUAUUCUAAUUGCAUUAAACCACUGAUAACAUGAUUGUUCAUUUUACACCGAGACAUGAUUGUUCAUUUUAUACCGAGUCAUGAUUGGUGUUAUUUUUAAUCAAGCUGCAUUUUAUUUUAUAAACUUAAAUCUGUGGUGUUUGUUAAGGGUAAUGUUUAAGACGUCCUUGUCCAUGGUAAUGUUUAAGGUGCUUAGGUUUAUUUAAAGGCAUUAAAAGAAAGAAGAUAGAGGAUGAAGAGUUGGUUUCAUCUUUGCCUUCUGGGAAAUAUUUACGUCUCUCUCGCCGUGAUGUAAGCUGCACUCUGAUUGGAGAGAGAGGGGAAUGUUCCAGUGGCACCUUUUAAAGUGCCCUAAAGCUCUUAAGAAAACACUCAUUGUAACAAGGAUCAAGCCUCCAUGUCUCAGAAAAAAAUAAUUAUAAUAUAGGAAAUAGUCUUAAUAUAAAAAACAAUAGAAAAAUAGAAAAAUCUCUUAUACAAGGCUUCUCUAUGAAAGCAAAAGACUCGGCAGACAAUGCAACAUCCCCCCAAUGAAAAGCGGGGGCACCACUAGCACGAUAAGAGACAACACAGUGCCAGGGGCCCAAGACUGUUCAACUGCCUCCCAGCAUACAUAAGGGGGAUUACCAAUAGACCCCUGGCUGUCUUCAAGCAGGCACUAGACAAGCACCUAAAGUCGGAACCUGACCAGCCAGGCUGUGGCUUGUACGUUGGAUUGCGUGCAGCCAGCAGUAACAGCUUGGGUGAUCAGGCCCUGAUCCACUAUGAGGCCUGGUCGCAGACUGGGCCGCAGGGGCGUUGACCCCCGGAACUCUCUCCAGGCAAACUCCAGGUAUGGAGAAUUGGAUAUUCGAUUUAGUAAUUUGUAAAAAGCUUGGUUAAAUUUUGUGCCAGCAGUCGUGGCUAGACUUAAAAGCUAAGUAAAAAUGUUUUAGUUUGGGUUAUUUAAAAUUUAGGGGUUAAUCAGAAUUUAUAAUAAUAGGAGUGUGUGUAAAGGUAGAAAGUUGAAAGUGAACAUAGAAAAGAGUAAGGUGAUGAGGGUAUCAAAUGAUUUAAAGAAAAAUUGGAUAUCAAAUUGGAGGAGGAGGAGUAUGGAAGAAGUGAAAGUUUUCAGAUAUUUGGGAGUUGACGUGUCAGCAGAUGGGUUUAUGAAGGAUGAGGUUAACCAUAGAAUUGAUGAAGGAAAAAAGGUGAGUGGUGCAUUGACGUACAUGUGGAGACAAAAAACGUUAUCCAUGAAGACAAAGAAGUAUAGAGUAUAGUGGUGCCAACACACUUAUAUGGGUGUGAAGCUUGGGUUAUAAAUGUUGCAGCGAGGAGGUGGCUGGAGGCAGUGGAGAUGUCCUGUCUAAGAGCAAUGUGUGGUGUAAAAUAUUAUUCAGAGAAAUCGGAGUGUGGAAAUUGG